UACAGAGGGUGCAAGCGUUAUUCGGAAUUAUGGGGCGUAAAGAGCGCGUAGGCGGUCUGAUAAGUCUGGUGUGAAAUCCCUGGACUCAAUUCAGGAAGCGCAUUGGAUACUGUCAGACUCGAGUACAGGAGAGGUGAGCGGAAUUCCCGGUGUAGAGGUGAAAUUCGUAGUUAUCGGGAGGAACAACAGUGGCGAAGGCGGCGCACUGGACUGUAACUGACGCUGAGGCGCGAAAGGGUGGGGAGCAAAUAGG
rnacentral:rRNA from 1 species